rnacentral:rRNA from 1 species
GGUUUCCUCUUCCCCUCCCUCACUGAUCUCCGAAGCUAAGCAGGGUUGGGCCUGGUUAGUACUUGGAUUGGAGACUACCUGGGAAUACCAGGUGCUGUAAGCU